rnacentral:rRNA from 1 species
AUUGAACGCUGGCGGCAUGCUUUACACAUGCAAGUCGAACGGUAACAGGUUAAGCUGACGAGUGGCGAACGGGUGAGUAAUGCAUCGGAACGUGCCCGAUCGUGGGGGAUAACGCAGCGAAAGCUGCGCUAAUACCGCAUACGAUCUGAGGAUGAAAGCGGGGGACCGUAAGGCCUCGCGCGAUCGGAGCGGCCGAUGUCAGAUUAGGUAGUUGGUGGGGUAAAGGCCCACCAAGCCGACGAUCUGUAGCUGGUCUGAGAGGACGACCAGCCCCACUGGGACUGGGACACGGCCCAGACUCCUACGGGAGGCAGCAGUGGGGAAUUUUGGACAAUGGGCGAAAGCCUGAUCCAGCAAUGCCGCGUGCAGGAAGAAGGCCUUCGGGUUGUAAACUGCUUUUGUACGGAGCGAAAAGGUCCUUUCUAAUACAAGGGGCUCAUGACGGUACCGUAAGAAUAAGCACCGGCUAACUACGUGCCAGCCGCCGCAGUAA